UCUGUAACUGUCACAGCAUCCUGCAGCGGCCCAUUCAGACGGAAAUUCUGUAAUAACAUUCAAAGCAGCUGGUGAUGAGGACAGAAGCAACCAGUUUUGACCUGGGAGAUGACUUCAGGGUUUCAACCAUGUUUGUUGGUUAUACCUUCCACUGCCAGGUCUUUGGCAUCCCUGCCCUUUGUGUCAACCACUCCGACCCAGGCCGCUCCGUGCUGCAGCAGAAGCCUCACCGCAGCUCUUUGCCCUGACCAGCUUGCACACAUUACAGCUGUCCAGAAGAAA